rnacentral:lncRNA from 1 species
AUGAAAGCAGAGAGACCACAGCAAGGCAGGGAAUUCCCCAACAGCAGAAUCCUGGCGCACAGGUCAUGUGGAAAGGCACUACAGGACAGUAAGUCACAUCUCCUGGGCCAAGCAGUUGGAUCCACAAGGGUACAUGUGCAGCCUCUAUGGAUACAGCCAUCCAGAAGGCUGAAUUUGUGUGCCAAAGAAACAGGCAGCCCAAGAGUGUGGAACUCUGCAAACAACCGUGAAAACCCCUACUUACUGAUAGGAGUUUCUAUCCAUAGGGAUCAAUGCUGUGCUAUUCAGGCUUAGAGAGACAUCCGCCAGUUCAACAUAGCCAUCCUGGCCACGGAUGGAAUUGUAUCAGGUUAGUGACAAGACCAGCAACCUUUCUGCUCUAAAAGAACAGGAGUACUUGUGGCACCUUAGAGAUUAACAAAUUUAUUAGAGCAUAAGCUUUCGUGGACUACAGCCCAUCUGAAGAAGUGUUCUUUUUGCGGAUACAGACUAACACGGCUGCUACUCUGAAACCUUUCUGCUCUAGUCACAUUGCAUUCUUUCACUGUGGUCCUCGGUAUCCAGGAUGGCUGAUCUAUGGGAAAUGAGUCUGAUCUAGUUCCUAGCACGCAGAACACAUUCAUAAUUGAUAAUCUUGGCAUUUGCAGCAGGAGACAUGACUUGAGAGAGUUCAGACUGCUCUGCCCCUCCAAGUGAAGCUCCAGGCAGCGCGCCUGGGGCAGCACGGUAAAGCUAGCGCUGCCUCCAGCAGUCCUGUUUCAGUCACGAGGUCACUGGGACUCCUUUGCUGCCAGUCUGGCAUCUUUCAAGCCUCAGCUUUACUUAAACUCAAACCCUCAGCUAGUAUCAGCUUUUUUCUUUUUGAAUCACUCUAUUUCUACCUGCUUCAGCGCCACCUCAUGAGAGUGACGAUUCUGGGAAAUAAAAUGCAAAGCAACCUAAAUAAUUGUUCUCGU